CAUGAAGCUGGAAUCGCUAGUAAUCGCGGAUCAGAAUGCCGCGGUGAAUACGUUCCCGGGUCUUGUACACACCGCCCGUCACACCAUGGGAGUCGGAAAUGCCCGAAGUCAGUGACCCAACCGUAAGGAGGGAGCUGCCGAAGGUGGAGCCGGUAACUGGGGUGAAGUCGUAACAAGGUAUC
rnacentral:rRNA from 1 species